CACGUAGGGCGCAAGCGUUGUCCGGAAUUAUUGGGCGUAAAGAGCUCGUAGGCGGCCACGCACGUCCGUUGUGAAAUCGCUCGGCUCAACUGGGCGGGGUCAGCGGAUACGGUGUGGCUAGAGCAAGCUAGGGGGCAAUGGAAUUCCCGGUGUAGUGGUGGAAUGCGUAGAUAUCGGGAGGAACACCAGUGGCGAAGGCGGUUGCCUGGAGCUUUGCUGACGCUGAUGCGCGAAAGCGUGGGGAGCGAUCCGG
rnacentral:rRNA from 1 species